rnacentral:rRNA from 1 species
UGGGGAAUAUUGGACAAUGGGCGCAAGCCUGGUCCAGCAAUGCCGCGUGUGUGAAGAAGGCCUGCGGGUUGUAAAGCACUUUCAGUGGAGAAGAACAGCCUACGGUUAAUACCCGUGAGUCUUGACGUAACCCACAGAAGAAGCACCGGCUAUCUCCGUGCCAGCAGCCGCGGUAAUACGGAGGGUGCGAGCGUUAAUCGGAAUUACUGGGCGUAAAGCGCGCGUAGGCGGUUUGGUCUGUCGAAUGUGAAAGCCCAGGGCUUAACCUUGGAACUCCGUUCGAUACUGCCUGACUAGAGUAUGGUAGAGGGAAGUGGAAUUUCCGGUGUAGCGGUGAAAUGCGUAGAUAUCGGAAGGAACACCAGUGGCGAAGGCGACUUCCUGGGCCAAUACUGACGCUGAGGUGCGAAAGCGUGGGGAGCAAACAGGAUUAGAUACCCCCGUAGUCC